rnacentral:rRNA from 1 species
UAUGCCUAUACGUAGGGGAUAACUCCGGGAAACCGGGGCUAAUACCGAAUGAUAAAGGGAGGCGCAUGCCACGCUUUUGAAAGAUGGUUUCGGCUAUCGCUUACAGAUGGGCCCGCGGUGCAUUAGCUAGUUGGUAGGGUAAUGGCCUACCAAGGCAACGAUGCAUAGCCGACCUGAGAGGGUGAUCGGCCACACUGGGACUGAGACACGGCCCAGACUCCUACGGGAGGCAGCAGUAGGGAAUCUUCCGCAAUGGACGAAAGUCUGACGGAGCAACGCCGCGUGUAUGAAGAAGGUUUUCGGAUCGUAAAGUACUGUUGUUAGAGAAGAACACGGAUAAGAGUAACUGCUUGUCCCUUGACAGGAUCUAACCUGAAAGCCACGGCUAACUACGUGGCAGCAGCCGGGGUAGUACGUAGGUGGCGAUCGUAGUCAGGAUUUAUUGGGCGUAAAGCGCGCGCAGGCGGUCUUUUAAGUCUGAUGUGAAAGCUCGCGGCUUAACCGGGGAGGGUCAUUGGAAACUGGAAGACUGGAGUGCAGAAGAGGAGAGUGCAAUUCCACGUGUAGCGGUGAAAUGCGUAGAUAUGUGGAGGAACACCAGUGGCGAAGGCGACUCUCUGGUCUGUAACUGACGCUGAGGCGCGAAAGCGUGGGGAGCAAACAGGAUUAGAUACCCUGCUACUCCACGCCGUAAACGAUGAGUGCUAAGUGUUAGGGGGGUUUCCGCCCCUUAGUGCUGCAGCUCACGCAUUAAGCAC